rnacentral:tRNA from 1 species
GGAGAGGUGACCGAGCGGCUUAAGGAGCUCGCUUGGAAAGCGAGUGCAGGCCAAAAGCCUGCCGGGGGUUCGAAUCCCCCCCUCUCCGCCA